rnacentral:lncRNA from 1 species
UUCCAACAAUUGAAUCUAGUUUGGUCCCGGAAUAUAUAUAUCUUAUUUUGAACCCGUAUUAUACAUGUAAUUACCAUUACUCAUUAAAAUAUAGGCAGCCGCAAGCAUAUACAUUAAAGACAAACUGACACACAUUAUUACGUGAAGAAUAAAAAGCAGAACCCAUGCACAUAUGCAUUAAGUACUUAAUACUUUUAAUUAGGUGCAUGGUGCCUGUCAUAUUUUACGUAGCUACUAUAGCUAGUACACCGUCGUAUCACUAGUAAGGUCUCUCGCCAAUGUAAUUACCACGAGGAGAGUAGCUGCAAAUGACGAAAGUACCCCGGCCGCCGCUGCAAGUAGCCUUGGCACAUCCAAUGCUAGUGCUCCUCCGCCACACAACCUGUGUGUAAUGGCCGCAAACCUCGCCUUGGGCGCACGUGUUGGAGUUGUAGUCGUAAUAUGCCUUUUCAUUCACCCACAUCGCCACGGAAUACUUCCCGGACAUCUGUCCACUGCCCCAGGCUAGGUUCUCCCCGUAGGGACCACCAGAGUGGAUGAGGCGACAGUCUGCUGCAGCCCGUUGGCCGGCAUAGUUACGUGCAUAGGAUGCCAGUCUUUCAUCCCAUGAUACGGGGGCCACUCCAACCAUGGAGCGGGCCUGGUUGUGGGAGUCGAGGUAGUCUUGUGGAGAGUCUUGUGCGGAUGCAGGGAAUGCUAGUGUUCCAAGUAAUGCGAUUGCAAUGAAAAGGAGUACUGAGGGUGCCAUGCUUUUUCUUUUUGAGAAGAAAAGAUGAAUGUGGGUGAGGAAAUGGAAGACGGUCUGCAUUGAUAGGGUUUUUUUAUAAGGGGAUAGUAAGCAGUACCAACUAGCUACUAGGGUUUGUCCGAUUCAUUUUUCCACAAAAGGGUUUUCUUUUUCCACAAAAGUGAAAAUGACGAGUGUGGAAAAUGGGUUUGAUGGAAUGUUCAACAAUAAUGUUGAUGUUGCAUGCUGGAGUCGUCACGAUACUUAUGUAAUGCAUAAUACGUUUGUUUGCGUCUUGUGGACGUCAUUACUUCACGAGAAGUACCAUCGGUAAAGAACCUCUCACACACUAAACAAUUUUAACUUCUUUCUGUAUCUCCUAAAGAAAUUAGAAUUAGUACUAUUGGGUCGGUCAAUCGCUUAAUUAUCAACUCAAAUCUACUAAUCGAUUUAAAGUUUACAAACAUAGUAAGUAUAUAUAACAAACCGUCAAAGACUAGUUAGGACUUAAAACAAGACAUGUAAAAUUGGAUUCUAAAUUUCAAUAUAGCUCAUUUACCGUUUGAAUCAUCGAGUAGUGAGUCAGUACAUUCGCUUAAUUAUCAUUUGGUAUGCGUGUGGUUCAAGGAAAUAAAACUUGCAUAUAUUUAGUGUAUUUGAAGUACUCUAUUAAUAGCUUGUUUAGAUUAAAUCUGUUCAAUUAUUUAACUGUUAACUAAUAAAGACAUUUGAACUCUAGACCUGCCCUAAAUAGCCAGCGAUUGCCAUUCCGGCCAGCAAGAUUUAGUAAUAUUACCAGCUAGCUAUAUUAAUAUAAAACAAUAUAUCCGUCUAGAAUUACUUACAUUAAUUUGUUCUAAAACUGAAUCCUAAUACAAACUCAAUCAAUUUUAAACAAGUAACAAAUCUAUUGGCAAAUAAUCAUCAUAAAUUUAAUUUAAAAUAUUUAAAUAUAGGAAAAAAGCUCGCCGAUGAAACAUAAAUCUAGUUUAGAUUUUUUAUUCAAAUCGGAUUCACUGGUUUAGUGCAUUUUUUUAUCCUCGUUCCGCCAUCAUAUAGAACAAGAUCUGUGUGUUAGUUUAGACAAAAUACCUCGGAAGCGGUAUAUUUUAAAUUACAAUUUUGUAAUUAUCCAAAUCUUUUAAUAUUAUGGUGGUUGACUUUAGGUUUCAUCAAUAGUUAAAUUUUUUUAUACAAAGAAAUGAUACCCUUUGGUAAAAAUCCUGGCUCCGUCACUAGUUGGUCGACGUGGAUGCUAAUCGGAUACGUAUAUUGGAGAUUCUGUUGUGAGAGGAGCUGAUGAAAAAAAGUCUCUUGUGGGGAGAUAAUGCAACACUAUAUAUUAGGCAGCAUAUUUUAUGAGAAGACAAACUGAUCAUAACACUGUGAUACAGUAUUAUUACGUGAAGAAUAAAAAGCAGAGCCCAUGCAAUCAAUAUGCAUUAAUUAAGCACUUUAUUUAAUUAGAUAGAACCCGACAUCUCGUAGCUACAAGCUAUUGCACCGUCUGUCAUAAUUAGUAAGGUCUCUCGCCAACGUAAUAUUACCAGGAGGAUUGUAGCUUCAAAUGACGAAACUACUCUGGCCGUCGCUGCAUCCAGCCUUGGCUCAUCCAAUACUGGUGCUCCUCCGCCAGACAACCUGUGUGUAAUGGCCGCAAACCUUGCCUUGGGCGCACGUGUUGCUGCUGUAGUCGUAAUCUACCUUCUCACUCACCCACAUCGCCACCGACCUCGCCCCGGACAACUCUCCGCCGCUCCCGCCAGCUAGGUUCUCCCCGUAGGGACCACCAGAGUGGACCAGGCUGCAGUCUCCUGCAGCCCUUUGGUUGGCGUAGGAUUGUGCGUAGGACGCCAGCGUGUCAUCCCAUGUUACGGGGCCCACUCCAACCAUGGAGCGGGCAUUGUUGUGGGAGUCG